UAAAUCGAAUUUUUAAAGGCUCGAGAAAUGCGUAUAUAAUGAUCGAGGAUCAAAGAUGACAAAUUGUGGAUCAUUUUCACGUUCAACUGUUCACGUUGCUCUUCCUCAACUUUGAAUUUCAGGAGGACAAUAAGAAGAAGAGACUUACGAGGUCGGAGUUCUUUUUUCUUUUUCUUUCUUUUUCUCUUUCUUUUUUAUUCCUUUUCCUUUCUUUCUUUUUUCUUUUUUUCUCUCGGACGGUGUCAACGACAAAGGAGUUCCGUGAUCCUGAAGACCUCGGGGUACAUUCGUGGUGGUCAUAAUGCACGCCAGGAUUAGGAUCAUCGAACCUAUAGGACCACCCAAUAGGGAAGGAAAUAGCCCGUGGAAUCGCGUAAGGAUUACUUCCUUAGCGACGUGUGACUAAGAAAGGCGUAGGUGUCCCCCAUCGAUCCCGGUAAACAAAAUGUCGGAAAGAAUGGAUCCUUUGAAGGAUGCUAUCCUUUAUUUUCGAGUAACUCAACAUUGGAACGUGAUCGAAACGGUAGAUGAUAUUUCGUCCACGGGAGAAGAAUAAAACCGGCCAUGCCGAAUGAGAAACAUCGAAGGUUCCCAUGAACCUAACUGUUCGAUUGCCCGGACCCAAUAUUUGAGAUCUCUGGUUUCAAUCGAAAAUCAACGACGAGAGAGAAAGUACAUUCGAGCCGCUACAAAGGAAGACAGACUAUGGUACUCGAGCUGUCGGGACGCUUAUCUUAUCGUACCACACGGAAAAUUGUUCGACGCUAGGUCCUACGUUUCUUCGUUAGGUGCCAAACUCCGGUUAUAUAC